AUGGCUCCUGCAAAGAAGGGUGGCAAGAAGAUGAGCUGUUCUGCCAUCAACAAGGUAGUGACCCAAGAACACACUUGGGUCACUAGCUCACAUCCAUGGAGUGGGCUUCAAGAAGCAUGCUCUGUGGGCAUUCAAAGAGAUUCAGAAAUUUGCCAUGAAGAUGGGCACUCCAGAUGUGUGCAUUGAUACCAGGCUUAACAAGGCUAUCAGGGCCAAAGGAAUAAGGAAUGUCCCACACCAUGUACAUGUGCGAUUGUUCAGAAAACAUAACAAGGAUGAAAAUUCACCAAACAAGCUCAAUACUGUGGUUACCUGUAUACCUGUUACCACUUUCAAAAAUCUAGAUAGUCAGUGUGGAUGA
rnacentral:lncRNA from 1 species